CAAGGUCUUGGUCUUAAACCUCUUAUUGUCUCAACCCCUUACUUAUACAUGCAAGCCUCCACACAACAGUGAAAUAGCCCACAACAAUACGCCCAACAGAGCAGGUAUCAGGCAUACACCCAUGACGCCAAGCAACCCAUAAGCCACGCCCCCACGGGUUUACAGCAGUAGUUAAUAUUGGGCUAUAAGCGAAAGCUCGACCCAAUAAUGGAGUUUCUAGGGCCGGUUAAUCUCGUGCCAGCGACCGCGGUUACACGACAGACCCAAGACAAUACUGCCGGCGUAAAGCACGACUAAAAAUACGUAACUCCUUAGGGAAAAGGCCGAACUGGGCUGUAAAAAGCCAUAAGUUUAUACCAAACACAAACCCUAACACUUAAACAACUUCAACUCGUGAAAGCAAGGACACAAACUAAGAUUAGAUACCUUACUAUGCCUAGCCAUUACAAAACAGUCAAAUAACUAAUUGUUCGCCAAAUAACUACGAGUAAAAACUUAAAAUUUAAAAGACUUGACGGUACUUCACACCAACCUAGAGGAGCCUGUCUAAUAACCGAUAAUCCACGAUUAACCCGACCCCCACUAGCCCAACAGUCUAUAUACCGCCGUCGCCAGUUUACCUUGUGAAAGUAAUAAAGUAAGCUAAACAUCACUACACUAACACGACAGGUCGAGGUGUAACUAAUGAGGGGGCUAAGAUGGGCUACAUUUUCUACACCAGAAAAAACGAAUAAACUAUGAAACUAGAAACUGAAGGCGGAUUUAGCAGUAAGAUAAGAAUAGAAUACUCAACCGAAAUUAACGCAAUGAAGUGCGCACACACCGCCCGUCAUCCCUGUAAAACACACAAAACCAUCCAUAAAUACACCACUUUUUUAAAGCAGGGCAAGUCGUAACAUGGUAAGCGUACUGGAAAGUGCGCUUAGAAA
rnacentral:ncRNA from 1 species